ACAAACACAAAAGAAAAAGGAAUUUAAGAAAUGGAAGAAUUGUUUCAAAAAGUAAACGAACAAAAAAUAAACUAAAGGAGGCAGAAGAAGAAGAAUACGAUGAACAGAAGACUUUUGGGUUCCUCUUUCUUCGGUUUAUUUAUAUAUAGUGCUCAAAAUUUCAUAUUCAUUCAAAAACCCUAGCUUCUUCCUCACUCCUCCUCCUUCUACUCUCGUUUCUUCUCCCUUUCCACCCAAAACCAAUAACAUCAACACGCUUAUCCAGCUCUCAGAUUCAAUUCACCAAAACCAUACACAAAAUUUCACUCACAGUCAUCGCAUCGUACCUUUCACGUGAUCGAUAUCUGAUUUGAAAAAGUGGAUCGAAAGCAUGGAAAGAGGCCACUUCCUGAAGAAGAAGAAGAAGAAGAAGAAGAAGAAAAAGCAGAAGAAAAAACGUUUCCGUUUUAUUUUUCUCGGUCUAAGCAAGACGUGUCUGCUGUGGUAUCGGCCCUUGUUCAAGUCAUUGGUGGCAAUCCACUGCCUGAAGAUCCAACGACACUUUCUCACUCCACUUCUGUUCAGAAUAAUUCGAACGAACCAUCGCAUCCACCACCACAACAAGGUAUGUUCCUCCCUGCGCCGUUAUCAUAUAUACUAUAUACUGCACAUUUUUCUCUUUUUUCUUGCUUUCGUAAUUGAUUUGAGGAGUGAUUAAGAACCGUGGAAUAUUGGGAAUCAUGACUUGAUGCAGGAACAAGUAUUAUGUUCCCCUGUUGUGUUCUUCUAUAUCUUUGCUGAAACCAGAAAAGGAUAUAUGUUAUUACCUUGUGUAUAGCUGGAGAUAGCAAUCUUUAGGGUUUCUUGAUUUGUCUCUGAAAAUCAUCGUGUGCUUCUGCAAGUUACAUCACAUGAGGUUACUUCAUACAUGAAUGUUGUUUUGUUUGCACUGAUGUUUUCUCAAUCUUGUUUCCCAUGCACUCAUGAAAAAUUUCAUAAAAAAAUUGUAUACGCACUCCUCUUUACACCAUUAAUUAUAUUUUUCCUUUUUUCAAAAUAAUGGUAUGCUUGGUUAAAAAGAAAGAGAUAGUGAAAAAGAAAACAAAAAACUAAAGAUAUAGAAAUAUUUUUUUCUUUUUUCGGUUUGAGGAAAAACUUGAUGUUAAGAAAAAUUUAAAUUUUUCUCUGCUUCCUUCAUUCUAAACAUAUGCUAUAGCUAUGCAAAAUAUAUUCCAGGACGUAUAAGUAGUAUAGAAUAGGAUAGGUAAAUGAGUUAUGACAGUUGAAGAUUUAUUGUUGUGUUGGUAGUCAAUAAAAUGAACAAAUACAUAGAAUUGUGUUAUAUAUGUGUAGUUUGUUGUGUGUAUAUACUAAACAAUUAACAUGUGGAUACGAUGUUAUAGUGUAUUUAUAUACAGUAAAUAAUGUUUGGACGAUCGUAUAUAGUGUGGAAAAGCUAUGCUAGUUAAUUAGAACAUUGAAGUUGUCGUUGUGCGUAGCUAUUAUCAAUGUGGGUGAUUUAUAUUUUUCUCAAGUUGUGUUACGAGUUAAAAGGUUGUUUCUUGUUUUUGUGAUUACAAAAAUAGUUUAUUUUGUCCAGUCCUUUUCGUCUUUGUGUUGUCUUAUAUUUAGUUUUAAAAUCAAAUAUAAAACUAUUUUUUUUAUUUUUGUUAUAAUUUUAAAAUGCCAGCUUCAAUACAGCUUAAUUAUAGAAUGUGAAUGUAAGUUGUAAUACAAUUGUAUAUUUAAUAAAAUAAAGAUUUAUGACCAAAAGUAAGUAGUACUUUACGGACAGGCUGUGAGCCCUUUUUCUCACUACUAUUUCUAUUGCAACCUAAAAUGUCUUGCCAACAAAAGAGAGAUAUAAAACCAUUUAAAUUUCUCUCUCUUUUUUUUUCUUUUUUUUUCUUUACCAUAAAAUGGUAUAUAGUUUUAAAAAUGAAUAAUUUACUUAGAUAAAUAAAUAACCUUAAUAUGGCCACAACACAAGACAAACCAAAAAUCGACAUAAAAAAAGUGUAAUACAUGUAUUAUCAAUCAAUAAACACACUUAAUGGCAGAUUAAACUGAUAUAAUGCAUUCUGAACAAAUCCAAGUCAGAAUUUGCGUAUUGUAGGUUAGGAAAUGUGAAAGACAAUUAGUUAUAAAAUAAUUAACAUUCAUAAAAUAUAAUUCAUUUUAUGUGUAUCUCUUCAAUCUUUAUAUUUUUUAAGAUUAAAUGUAUUUGUAAUGUUUACAUCAUAGAAAUGGAAUUCAUUUUUUAUUCAAACUUGAUAAAUCUUAGUCCUUAAACCUUAUAAAUUAAUUGAUGUGAUUAUUUUAACUCAAUUAUAUUGAUAUUUUUAUGUGUUAAAUAAUAUUUUAGACUAAUAUUUUGAACUAAAAAAAAAUCCAACAAUAUAAACAGUUCAAAUAUAAAUCUAAAAUAUCUUUUAAUACUAAAAAAAAAAACUUAAUACAGUUGAAUUUUACAUGACAUAAAUGAAUUUCAAUUUCACAUUAAAAUCUACUAAAAAUAUAUCAAAACCGUCUCAUUUUUAAAUCAUAAUAAACAAAUAAAGAAAAGGAAGCCAGAAAAACAUUAUUUGUAAAAGUGUAUAAAAGAAAAUAAUUAAUGUUCACAAAAAUAUGACAAGAUUUUCUGUUUGCUCAGAGAUAAAGAAAAUAACAUUUGUUUUAGUAAGUUAAAAUUUUCAUUAGAAUAGUGAAGAAGUUAUGUCCAGAUUUAAACUCAUUUACAUGUAUUACACACAUCUUCCACAUAAGAUAUUGAUAAAAAAAAAAUGAAAGAACUUGUGCCCUCUAAUAGAAUACGUUGUGUGCGAACUGAAAUUACACAACUUUUGUUUGCCCACAGAUAAAAAAAGAUGCCACUUUCUUUUAAAAGGAAAGUAUAUCUAUAUAUCCAUACAUAAUAGAGAGAGAAAAAGAAAAGCUUGAUAUUUUUUCUUAAUCCUUCAAUUAUUUUUUUCAGUUAAAUUUGAUUCUUAUAAAUUAGAACUAUGUAAAAUCAAUAAUUCAUAUUACAUAAUUCUAGACAAUCCAGACAAAGUCAUGUUAUAUGCCAUCCCAUAAUAGUUGUUAAUAUGUGACGUGUCUAUGCACAUAUUACACAAUUCUAGAUAAUGUCUUAAAUUAUUUUGAACACCAAAACUAUUAAUUUUUAUUUUGAAAAAUAAAACUAAUAAAGUUUUAAUAAAUAUUAUGUGUUUAUUGUAAGAGUCAUAGUUUUAUUCCACUAAGUACAAAUUUUAGAAUCUAAAUUGUAAAAUAAAAAAUAUAUCUUUCUACUAACUAUCAAAUGAAUAUCAAUUAAAAUAAAGGUUUUAUAAGACACUGUGAAAGUGUAAAAGAUGAAUUAAAACAUUAUAAAAUAAAUUAAGAUAUUAUAAAAUAGCUAGCUUUGAGAAAUAAAUGGUACCUAGCUAAUGUUUAAAUUUUAUGAUACCAUACUAUCUCUAAAACAAAAAAGUGUGGAGUAAAUGAAAAACCCCUUACGACUUUCCAAGUGUUUAUAAUGUAAAGUUAUUAAAAGUAGCAUAUUCGUGAAUAUGACUUGCGUGCGCACAACGAAAGAUGCUCGCAAGGUGUUUGCUGAAAUUCAUGACGUGUAAUGUGGCUAUGUGUGAAGGAAGCGCAAGAAAACAGUACAGAGGAGUGAGACAGCGACCAUGGGGGAAGUGGGCCGCGGAGAUUCGCGACCCGAAGAAAGCAGCCAGAGUUUGGCUGGGAACUUUUCCCACCGCGGAGGCUGCUGCACUUGCUUACGAUGAAGCAGCUCUCAGAUUCAAAGGAAGCAAAGCCAAGCUCAAUUUUCCAGAAAAAGUUCAUCUCUCAGGGGAAUUAGGUUACCUCACAAAUCGUCCACCAUCGUUACAAGCCACUUCAACUCCCUUCCAACUGCUUCCUCGUCACACUGCAACUGAUAAUGAUGCCAUUCUUUCUUCCUCUUCUUCGCCAUCGUCUUCAACCUUUUCGAUGAACUCCGCAGCUUCUUCUUCCGAGCCUCCUACCAAACGGAAACCUGAUUUCGAUGCCAAACAAAAACGUUGAGAACUUCAAUACAUCAAUUAAAUAUAUGCUUAUCUUGUAAUGUUUAUUAUGUAUGGUGUCAAGGAAAUAAUGCUGCAAGUGUGUAGUUUUUUCAUUGACAUGAUAUGAUAUGAGUAAUGCACAUGAAAUAAAUUAAUUAACUACAUGUGUAUUGUCUCGUUCGCGUAUAUAUCCAUGAAAUUUUGAUAACAAACAGCACAGAAAUAUAGUAUUAGAAACUUGAAGUUUCAAAGCAGACAUGGAUGAAUGAGAGAAGGUAAGAGAAGUUGAGAAGCAGAAGAGCAGAGUUUAUACGAGCUUUUACCUGCGUCUCAUAACAACCCUGUGGAGUACUGUGAAAUAUUCUUGUAACAACCUUUAUGACUGCGACAAAAAUAAA
rnacentral:lncRNA from 1 species